AGUGAACGCUGGCGGUAGGCCUAACACAUGCAAGUCGAACGGCAGCACAGUAAGAGCUUGCUCUUACGGGUGGCGAGUGGCGGACGGGUGAGGAAUACAUCGGAAUCUACUUUUUCGUGGGGGAUAACGUAGGGAAACUUACGCUAAUACCGCAUACGACCUACGGGUGAAAGUAGGGGAUCUUCGGACCUUGCGCGAUUGAAUGAGCCGAUGUCGGAUUAGCUAGUUGGCGGGGUAAAGGCCCACCAAGGCGACGAUCCGUAGCCGGUCUGAGAGGAUGAUCAGCCACACUGGAACUGAGACACGGUCCAGACUCCUACGGGAGGCAGCAGUGGGGAAUAUUGGACAAUGGGCGCAAGCCUGAUCCAGCCAUACCGCGUGGGUGAAGAAGGCCUUCGGGUUGUAAAGCCCUUUUGUUGGGAAAGAAAAGCAGCAGGUUAAUACCCCGCUGUUCUGACGGUACCCAAAGAAUAAGCACCGGCUAACUUCGUG
rnacentral:rRNA from 1 species